AGUGAGCGCUGGCGGUAGGCCUAACACAUGCAAGUCGAACGGCAGCACAGUAAGAGCUUGCUCUUACGGGUGGCGAGUGGCGGACGGGUGAGGAAUACAUCGGAAUCUACUUUUUCGUGGGGGAUAACGUAGGGAAACUUACGCUAAUACCGCAUACGGCCUACGGGUGAAAGCAGGGGAUCUUCGGACCUUGCGCGAUUGAAUGAGCCGAUGUCGGAUUAGCUAGUUGGCGGGGUAAAGGCCCACCAAGGCGACGAUCCGUAGCUGGUCUGAGAGGAUGAUCAGCCACACUGGAACUGAGACACGGUCCAGACUCCUACGGGAGGCAGCAGUGGGGAAUAUUGGACAAAGGGCGCAAGCCUGAUCCAGCCAUACCGCGUGGGUGAAGAAGGCCUUCGGGUUGUAAAGCCCUUUUGUUGGGAAAGAAAAGCAGCAGGUUAAUACCCCGCUGUUCUGACGGUACCCAAAGAAUAAGCACCGGCUAACUUCGUG
rnacentral:rRNA from 1 species